UAGAGUGUACAAUUCCUUCUAUCAUCAUGUGCCGAGAAACCACCUUCAACACCUACUUGAUUGCGCCUGAUCAAAUGAACAGCCAUCGGAGGAAAGCCAAGUACCACUGGAACAAGACAACAUUUAACCCGUUCAGCUUCUAGCUAACUCCAGCAUCACUGAUCAGCAACUACGUACACCUGACUCAGAUGAAGGGCAAAGGGGCGUUGACCAACAUAGAGCUGUCACAGUGCAACAAGAUCUGACAACGCAUGCCACUGCUUUUGUGAUAAAUGCCAGAGCCGAGCAUAGUCUCUCACAGAAAGGCAUCUAUGACAUUGUUGCUGGGGUACAGCAGUAUCAAUCAUCACUAUUGGACAACCUCAGGAAGCAGAUGGAGGCAGUGGUAAAGAAGCAUUCAGGAAGCACAUCAGGUGAACUUGAAAAAGAUGCAAUGCAUAUAUUUGACAAUUUCAUUGACCCUUUUUACUUAGACAGGACAGUGUUAUUAAGAAGCUGUUUGGAUGCAGAGGAAAUUCCAAUUUGCUCGAACCAUAUGCAGGAUCAAAAGACAUUUUCAUCAAAGACAAAUUAUUUUAUUAUGUACCAUUAGUCAAAAGUCUAGAACAGUUCUUAUCACACCCAAGGAUUUUGUCUGUGGUUGAAAAGGGACCCCAGAUGUGCAGGGAAAGAUUUUUUCAUGACAUUGUUGAUGGUGCUCAUCUAAAAUCACAUCCCUUAUUUUCAAGAGAAACCAAAGGCAUUGCAGAUUGUUCUGUACACGGAUGAAAUAGAAAUCUGUAAUCCACUAGGAUCCUUUGCAUCAAAAAAUGCAAAUGGUGUAAUACACCCUAGGAAAUAUAAAUCCAAAAUACAGGUCUAAACUGGCUGCUAUCAGGCUACUUGCCAUGGCUGGAUCAG